GAUGAACGCUGGCGGCGUGCCUAAUACAUGCAAGUCGAGCGAACAGACGAUGAGCUUGCUCCUCUGACGUUAGCGACUGACGGGUGAGUAACACGUGGAUAACCUACCUAUAAGACUGGGAGAACUUCGGGAAACCGGUUCUAAUACCGGAGAAUAUAUUGUACCGCUUGAUUCAAUAGUGAAAGACGGUUUUGCUGUCACUUAUAGAUGGAGCCGGGGCGGAUUAGCUAGUUGGUAAGGUAACGGCUUACCAAGGCAACGAUGCGUAGCCGACCUGAGAGGGUGAUCGGCCACACUGGAACUGAGACACGGUCCAGACUCCUACGGGAGGCAGCAGUAGGGAAUAUUGCGCAAUGGGCGCAAGCCUGACGGAGCCACGCCGCGUGAGUGAUGAAGGUCUUCGGAUUGUAAAGCUCUGUUAUUAGGGAAGAAAAAAUGUGUAAGUAACUAUGCACGUUUUGACGGUACCUAAUCAGAAAGCAACGGCUAACUACGUG
rnacentral:rRNA from 1 species